rnacentral:ncRNA from 1 species
UGAUAGAGGUGCAAAAGUCAAGAGUAGCUCUCUCCCUGCGGGAAACGGGGGAGCGUGAAAGGGGCUUUUGCCGAAGUGGGUUACCGCCUGCCCGGGGCGGAGCUUGCUGGGUCGCCGCAUAAUAUGCUGCGGACUGUCACGGUUGUGGAGCGCUAUCUU